UGAGCAGAUGAGCAUUCACAUUUGAAAACAUGAUGUCAGAGCAAAAGUUAUCAAAGGCCUGAGAUAUACAGUGAAAUGGUAAUGGCGCUGAGCUGCUUUCAUCCCAGAAAAAAUGAUCUACUCAAGAGACAAGUGGGAUGCGAGAAGGCACAGCACUUAGUCUGAAUCUACUUAGGGUUCUUGAAACAUCUAAUUCAUAGGAGUCAAUGGACACUGCCAUGAGACUCCAAUUUGCAAGGCUCAGGACAUCUGCUACUGCUGGGGAAAGGAAUAACAUUGGUAUUGGCCUGGGUCUAAGAAGAAG